ACCCAUGUCCAGGAUGAAGGUAAGGUAAUACUUACUGGAGGUCCGAACCCACGCACGUUGAAAAGUGCGGGGAUGAGGUGUGGGUAGCGGAGAAAUUCCAAUCGAACUUGGAGAUAGCUGGUUCUCUCCGAAAUAGCUUUAGGGCUAGCCUCGAGGUAAAGAGUCAUGGAGGUAGAGCACUGUUUGGACUAGGGGCCCUUCUCGGGUUACCGAAUUCAGAUAAACUCCGAAUGCCAUGUACUUAUACUCGGGAGUCAGACUGCGAGUGAUAAGAUCCGUAGUCGAAAGGGAAACAGCCCAGACCACCAGUUAAGGUCCCCAAAUAUAUGUUAAGUGGAAAAGGAUGUGGGGUUGCUUAGACAACCAGGAUGUUGGCUUAGAAGCAGCCACCAUUGAAAGAGUGCGUAAUAGCUCACUGGUCGAGUGACCCCGCGCCGAAAAUGUACCGGGGCUAAACAUAUUACCGAAACUGUGGAUGAACCUCUUUAGAGGUUCGUGGUAGGAGAGCGUUCUAAGGGCGGUGAAGUCAGACCGGAAGGACUGGUGGAGCGCUUAGAAGUGAGAAUGCCGGUAUGAGUAGCGAAAGAAGGGUGAGAAUCCCUUCCACCGAAUAUCUAAGGUUUCCUGAGGAAGGCUCGUCCGCUCAGGGUUAGUCGGGACCUAAGCCGAGGCCGAUAGGCGUAGGCGAUGGACAACAGGUAGAGAUUCCUGUACCAGUGCUAAUUGUUUAACCGAUGGGGUGACACAGAAGGAUAGGGAAUCGCACGAAUGGAAAUGUGCGUCCAAGCAGUGAGUGUGAGAAGUAGGCAAAUCCGCUUCUCGCGAAGCAUGAGCUGUGAUGGGGAAGGAAAUUAAGUACGGAAGUUCCUGAUUUCACGCUGUCAAGAAAAGCCUCUAGGAAGAGUAGUACUGCCCGUACCGCAAACCGACACAGGUAGAUGAGGAGAGAAUCCUAAGGUGAGCGAGAGAACUCUCGUUAAGGAACUCGGCAAAAUGACCCCGUAACUUCGGGAGAAGGGGUGCUCUAUUAGGGUGCAAGCCCGAGAGAGCCGCAGUGAAUAGGCCCAGGCGACUGUUUAGCAAAAACACAGGUCUCUGCAAAACCGUAAGGUGACGUAUAGGGGCUGACGCCUGCCCGGUGCUGGAAGGUUAAGAGGAGUGCUUAGCUUCGGCGAAGGUACGAAUUGAAGCCCCAGUAAACGGCGGCCGUAACUAUAACGGUCCUAAGGUAGCGAAAUUCCUUGUCGGGUAAGUUCCGACCCGCACGAAAGGCGCAACGAUCUGGGCACUGUCUCAACGAGAGACUCGGUGAAAUUAUAGUACCUGUGAAGAUGCAGGUUACCCGCGACAGGACGGAAAGACCCCGUGGAGCUUUACUGCAACCUGAUAUGGAAUGUUUGUACCGCUUGUACAGGAUAGGUAGGAGCCGAAGAGACGUGUGCGCUAGCAUACGAGGAGGCAAUGGUGGGAUACUACCCUGGCUGUAUGACCAUUCUAACCCGCCACGCUUAGCGCGUGGGGAGACAGUGUCAGGUGGGCAGUUUGACUGGGGCGGUCGCCUCCUAAAGAGUAACGGAGGCGCCCAAAGGUUCCCUCAGAAUGGAUGGAAAUCAUUCGCAGAGUGUAAAGGCACAAGGGAGCUUGACUGCGAGACUGACAAGUCGAGCAGGGACGAAAGUCGGGCUUAGUGAUCCGGUGGUUCCGCAUGGAAGGGCCAUCGCUCAACGGAUAAAAGCUACCCCGGGGAUAACAGGCUUAUCUCCCCCAAGAGUCCACAUCGACGGGGAGGUUUGGCACCUCGAUGUCGGCUCGUCGCAUCCUGGGGCUGUAGUCGGUCCCAAGGGUUGGGCUGUUCGCCCAUUAAAGCGGCACGCGAGCUGGGUUCAGAACGUCGUGAGACAGUUCGGUCCCUAUCCGUCGCGGGCGCAGGAAAUUUGAGAGGAGCUGUCCUUAGUACGAGAGGACCGGGAUGGACACACCGCUGGUGUACCAGUUGUUCCGCCAGGAGCAUCGCUGGGUAGCUAUGUGUGGCAGGGAUAAACGCUGAAAGCAUCUAAGCGUGAAGCCCCCCUCAAGAUGAGAUUUCCCAUUUCUUCGGAAAGUAAGAUCCCUGAAAGAUGAUCAGGUAGAUAGGUUUGGAGUGGAAGUGUAGCGAUACAUGGAGCGGACAAAUACUAAUCGAUCGAGGACUUAACCAAAA
rnacentral:rRNA from 1 species